CAGUCACAUUAUUCAUUUAUGAUAACCAGUCUAAUAGAAGCUGAUGUAGGGAACCAGCUAGCAGGAAACAGACAGACUUUGACUGACCACGACUGAGACCUGACGGACUUAUUACUUCUUGACGAUCAUCUUAUAUCCAUCAUCAUCCGAUACAUAGAUUCGACGCUAGUGCUCAUCUUUAUCAGAAUUAGUGCGUAUUUCAUGCAUAUUACAUUCCGACGUUAACCGGAAGUGACGUUUCAUUGACCGGAAGUGGCGUGUUCAUCGCCAUAAGUUGGGGAAUAUUCAGCUCUCCUAUACCUGAGGGCGCCAGUUGCUGACUUUUGACGGUGAAGAUGACAGAUUCCGAGUCUUUGGAAGGGAGCCCAAAAAGGUCAUGGAAAGAAACAGAACGGAUAAUUCCAAUUAAUCCCGAUGAUAUUGUACGGGAAAUGGAAACCUUAUGUUCUCGCAAAGUACAGAUGCCAUCUGCCAAAUUAUUGAUCUUUCAAUUAGGUUUGGUCAAGGACCAAGAAAAGAUUAAUAGGAUUGUUACAGAACAAUGCCAAAUUGCACAGGGUCGUGGGAAUUUUAGGUUCAUCCGUGAGGC